rnacentral:rRNA from 1 species
CUACGGGUUGCACCAGUGAGGAAUAUUGCACAAUGGGGGAAACCCUGAUGCAGCAACGCCGCGUGGAGGAUGACGCAUUUCGGUGUGUAAACUCCUUUUAUGAGUCAAGAAAAUGACGGUAGCUCAUGAAUAAGCACCGGCUAACUCCGUGCCAGCAGCCGCGGUAAUACGGAGGGUGCAAGCGUUACUCGGAAUCACUGGGCGUAAAGGACGCGUAGGCGGGAUGUCAAGUCAGGUGUGAAAUCCUAUGGCUCAACCAUAGAACUGCACUUGAAACUGGCAACCUAGAGUAUGGGAGGGGGAGAUGGAAUUAGUGGUGUAGGGGUAAAAUCCGUAGAUAUCACUAGGAAUACCGAAAGCGAAGGCGAUCUCCUGGAACAUUACUGACGCUAAGGCGUGAAAGCGUGGGGAGCAAACAGGAUUAGAUACCCUCGUAGUC